rnacentral:rRNA from 1 species
AUUGAACGCUGGCGGCAGGCCUAACACAUGCAAGUCGAACGAGUGGCGCACGGGUGAGUAAUGUCUGGGUAACUGCCUGAUGGAGGGGGAUAACUACUGGAAACGGUAGCUAAUACCGCAUACCAUCGGAUGUGCCCAGAUGGGAUUAGCUAGUAGGUGGGGUAACGGCUCACCUAGGCGACGAUCCCUAGCUGGUCUGAGAGGAUGACCAGCCACACUGGAACUGAGACACGGUCCAGACUCCUACGGGAGGCAGCAGGGGGGAAGAUUGGACAAUGGGCGAAAGCCUGAUACAGCCAUGCCGCGUGUGUGAAGAAGGUCGUCGGAUUGUAAAGCACUUUAAGUUGGGAGGCGUUACCAACAGAAGAAGCACCGGCUAACGUCGUGCCAGCAGCCGCGGUAAUAC